GGGGAAGUCCGGUGAGAGUCCGGCGCUGACCCGCAACGGUGUGCGCGACGGCCCGACGGCCGUCGCGCGAGCCCGAUCGCCC
rnacentral:ncRNA from 2 species